AGAUUUGCAUAUUACAUUGCAUAGCUAUCUCCUCAACCCUGAUAAGGUUUACAUUCUCUGAUUCUCAUCUACAAGGAUUUGGUUUGUGCAUGCAUUUAUAAGUUCGCUUGAUUAUUUUUGAAUUUUCUUUGGCUAUAGAAUCUUUUUUCAUUUCAGUCCAAGUGGUCCAGAUCAUUUGUUGUACUUAUCUUCUUGGUACAGAUCAAAAUUUUUCGUAGCAGAAA
rnacentral:misc_RNA from 1 species